rnacentral:siRNA from 1 species
GGUGUGAUGAUGUGUUACUCAUAUG